AUUGAACGCUGGCGGCAUGCCUUACACAUGCAAGUCGAACGGCAGCACGGGGCAACCCUGGUGGCGAGUGGCGAACGGGUGAGUAAUGCAUCGGAACGUGCCCAGUAGUGGGGGAGUAACUAGUCGAAAGAUUAGCUAAUACCGCAUACGACCUAUGGGUGAAAGCGGGGGACCGUUUACCGCCUCGCGCUAUCGGAGCGGCCGAUGUCUGAUUAGCUAGUUGGCGGGGUAAAAGCCCACCAAGGCUUCGAUCAGUAGCUGGUCUGAGAGGACGACCAGCCACACUGGGACUGAGACACGGCCCAGACUCCUACGGGAGGCAGCAGUGGGGAAUUUUGACAAUGGGCGCAAGCCUGAUCCAGCCAUGCCGCGUGCGGGAAGAAGGCCU
rnacentral:rRNA from 1 species